CCUACGGGUGGCUGCAGUGAGGAAUAUUGGUCAAUGGCCGAGAGGCUGAACCAGCCAAGUCGCGUGAGGGAAGACGGCCCUACGGGUUGUAAACCUCUUUUGUCGGGGAGCAAAGCGAGUCACGUGUGACUCAUUGAGAGUACCCGAAGAAAAAGCAUCGGCUAACUCCGUGCCAGCAGCCGCGGUAAUACGGAGGAUGCGAGCGUUAUCCGGAUUUAUUGGGUUUAAAGGGUGCGCAGGCGGAGGUGCAAGUCAGCGGUCAAAUUGCGGGGCUCAACCCGGGCCUUGCAGCGCGAACUGGCGUGCUUGAGUCCGCGGAAAGCAGGCGGAAUUCGUCGUGUAGCGGUGAAAUGCUUAGAUAUGACGAAGAACCCCGAUUGCGAAGGCAGCUUGCUGCAGCGGAACUGACGCUGAUGCUCGAAAGCGCGGGUAUCGAACAGGAUUAGAUACCCUUGUAGUC
rnacentral:rRNA from 1 species